GAUGAACGCUAGCUACAGGCUUAACACAUGCAAGUCGAGGGGAAACGACAUCGAAAGCUUGCUUUUGAUGGGCGUCGACCGGCGCACGGGUGAGUAACGCGUAUCCAACCUGCCCACCACUUGGGGAUAACCUUGCGAAAGUAAGACUAAUACCCAAUGACGUCUCUAGAAGACAUCUGAAAGAGAUUAAAGAUUUAUCGGUGAUGGAUGGGGAUGCGUCUGAUUAGCUUGUUGGCGGGGUAACGGCCCACCAAGGCGACGAUCAGUAGGGGUUCUGAGAGGAAGGUCCCCCACAUUGGAACUGAGACACGGUCCAAACUCCUACGGGAGGCAGCAGUGAGGAAUAUUGGUCAAUGGGCGAGAGCCUGAACCAGCCAAGUAGCGUGCAGGACGACGGCCCUAUGGGUUGUAAACUGCUUUUAUAAGGGAAUAAAGUGAGUCUCGUGAGACUUUUUGCAUGUACCUUAUGAAUAAGGACCGGCUAAUUCCGUG
rnacentral:rRNA from 1 species